UACGGGGGGGGCAAGCGUUGUUCGGAAUUACUGGGCGUAAAGGGCUCGUAGGCGGCCAACUAAGUCAGGGGUGAAAUCCUGGAGCUCAACUCCAGAACUGCCCUUGAUACUGAGAGGCUCGAGUCCGGGAGAGGUGAGUGGAACUCCGAGUGUAGAGGUGAAAUUCGUAGAUAUUCGGAAGAACACCAGUGGCGAAGGCGACUUACUGGACACAUAUUGACGCUGAGGUGCGAAAGCGUGGGGAGCAAACAGG
rnacentral:rRNA from 1 species